UAUUCGCUCUUUUCAGGUUGAGCCCCAUGGAUUGCAUGUUGCUCGCAUAUCACACCGCUUCCUUCUUUUGAAACCUGAAAAAUUCUCAAAGCUUUGGGACUGGUCUUGUUUUCUAGAACCCUUAAAAAAGCCUUGCGAAUCAGACCUGAUAUGGUGCAGGUUUCAUAUAUUAAGAGUUGUGUUCAAAUUAGGUUCCCGAGCUAGUGAAAGCUCGAAUAUUGAAGCUCAGGAAGCAUCUGCCUAUUUAUCGCGCUAGGAAGAGUUUUGUGGGGACACAACACUAGAGAGAGCUGGUUGGUUGGUUGAAGCAACAGCAGACUACAUGUCUGAUUCUCCUAAUAGAAACAUGGAUUUCAAUCAAGAGAACUGUUUAAAUUCUUUAAGACGUAAUUAUCUUCCUGUUGGUUCGCCAAAGGUACGCGAGGUGCAACCGCCUCUUAGGACCAAAAGAGCUGUCACAAGCUGUAAAGAAAAGUUAUGAAGGAGUUCUACUAGCUGCAAGUCAGAAGUGGCUGGUUCUUUUAUACGGUGCCUCUGGUUCUGGAAAAUCUGCUCUUAUAGCUAAGCUGGCUGAGGAUAGUCAUAACCAAGUUCUGUCUAUCCAGAUGGAUGAUCAGAUUGAUGGUAGAACAUUGGGUGGGGGAUAUGUCUGUACGGAUAGGCCUGGAGAGUUUAGGUGGCAGCCUGGAUCACUUACUCAGGCUGUGCAGAAUGGAUUUUGGAUUGUUUUUGAGGAUAUCAACAAAGCACCAUCUGAUGUACACUCCAUUUUGUUGCCUUUAUUAGAAGGGGCGGAUUCAUUUAUGACAGAAAGAGGGGAGGUGAUUAUUUUUGCUGUUUGUGUCUUUUCUUACAUGAAAUAAAUUGUAUUCAGUUUUUGUUUUUUUGGUCCAUGAACUCCAUGCCCAUCAUUUCAUAAGAUGCAACAAUUAUUUGUUACCUUAAUCCUUUCAUGUUCUAUGCUA